UUAGAGGAAGUAAAAGUCGUAACAAGGUUUCCGUAGGUGAACCUGCGGAAGGAUCAUUAUCGAGUUUUUGAAAGAGGUUGUAGCUGGCCUUUCGGGGCAUGUGCACGCCUCGCUCAAUUCCAACUCUUUAACACCUGUGCACAUAUUGUAGGUCGGCUUAUUGAGAGGGUGUUAACAGCCCUUGAAGUAGCCUUCCUAUGUUUAUAACAAACUCUUGUUGUAUAUGAAUGUCAUCUUGCGCUUUAUAACGCAUUAAAUAUAACUUUCAGCAACGGAUCUCUUGGCUCUCGCAUCGAUGAAGAACGCAGCGAAAUGCGAUAAGUAAUGUGAAUUGCAGAGUUCAGUGAAUCAUCGAAUCUUUGAACGCAACUUGCGCCUCUUGGUAUUCCGAGAGGCAUGCCCGUUUGAGUGUCAUUGUAUUCUCAAACCCCUUCAUUUGUAUAAGUGAAGUGGGCUUUGGAUUUGGAGGCUUACUGCGGGUUUAUUAUCAUUAUGAAUCCGCUCCUCUUGAAUACAUUAGCUGGAAACCUUUGUUAGGCUGGCUUCAGUGUGAUAAUUGUCUGCGCUGUAGUCAUCUAACACUCGUAUAGGAUUCCGCUUCUAAUUGUCUUUAACUAGACAAACUACUAUUGACAUCUGACCUCAAAUCGGGUAGGACUACCCGCUGAACUUAAGCAUAUCAAUAAG
rnacentral:rRNA from 1 species